AAGGUUGAUGAGCCAGGUCUUGGCCCUCGUGACUUUAUCUCACCUUACCAUCCCAUCAUCACUUUCAGUAAGAGCUUCCUCUUACCUCGUCCCCCUGCCACGUUCAGCACUCCAACAACACGCUUGAUACUUCACUCUUGACGUGCUUUUGAUUUACCUGGAAAUUCUGCUGUACCCAAGAUUUUUUUCGCUGUAAUGGUGGGGACAAAGAAAAACAAAUCCUGACCAUUUAUAAAAAAAAUAAUAAUAAUAAUUAAUAAAAAAAAAAAAAAAAGGGUAGAAAAGCAGAUUAGAACACAUCAUUUUUCCAGACCGACACACUCGAAGCAUUGGGAAUAUCCAUUAAAACACGAGCCAGCUGUCACCAAAAGAAAAAUAAACCAGAUUAAUUCCGUUUUCCUGAUUGCAGGGAAAGAGCUUUAAACACAGCUGUCAGCAGACAGUCCUUCCUGGUCCUAAGGUUCUGUUAGGGCUUAUUGUAAGGCUCCGUUUAGACUCAGCUGGAUGUUGGGUGCUUUGAAUGGACGCAGAUCAAUGGAAACACUACACACAUACUCUAUUUGAAGACUGAGGGGGUGGUGUUUGUAAGGACCCAAAGACAGUAGACCUUCAGUGACGAAUGAGGCUGAAUCAGCUGCAGGGUCCAGUGGCACAGAAGGAGAGGAAGGAAGAUGAGAGGGGAGCAGAGAAGGCUUGACUUCAUGCAUACUGAUUUGACUGGAGCAAUCUGAAUGCAUUUCUGAGGGUGUCUGCUUAGUCUGGCUCGAAUCAUGCCCGCCUCGCAGGGAGGGAGAGAGACGAGGAGAAAGAAAGAGGGGAAGAAAUAUUGACAGUUUACUGUGUCACCUUACAUCACCAUCCUCCGCUCACGAAAUCACAGCUGGGAGCUGAAAUGGGUGCUACUCGGAUCCAUCUUUAGAUAUAAUAAAGUUCCCCAACCUCAUCUCAGCGUGACCAAUUUGACUCUGCCACACAAUGGCUGAUAUUGGGCGGUUGCCACAGGAUACAGGAUUUAACUUGAUCAUGUGAUCUGACUCCCUCGCCAGUUCCCUGCCAUCUAUCAUAGG